rnacentral:rRNA from 1 species
UACGUAGGGGCUAGCGUUGUCCGGAAUUACUGGGCGUAAAGGGUGAGUAGGUGGUCAUUAAAGUCAGAUGUAAAAGGCAAUGGCUCAACCAUUGUAAGCAUUUGAAACUUAAUGACUUGAGUGCAGGAGAGGUAAAUGGAAUUCCUAGUGUAGCGGUGAAAUGCGUAGAUAUUAGGAAGAACACCAGUGGCGAAGGCGAUUUACUGGACUGUAACUGACACUGAGUCACGAAAGCGUGGGGAGCGAACAGG